rnacentral:rRNA from 1 species
CACGCAGGCGGUUUGGCAAGUCGGAUGUGAAAACCCGGAGCUCAACUCCGGGCCUGCAUCCGAUACUGCCCGACUAGAGGUAGGUAGGGGAGAUCGGAAUUCCUGGUGUAGCGGUGAAAUGCGCAGAUAUCAGGAGGAACACCGGUGGCGAAGGCGGAUCUCUGGGCCUUACCUGACGCUCAGGUGCGAAAGCUAGGGGAGCAAACA